UACGAAAGGGGCGAGCGUUGUUCGGAAUUACUGGGCGUAAAGCGCGCGUAGGCGGCCUAGCAAGUUGGGGGUGAAAGCCUAGGGCCCAACCCUGGAAUUGCCUCCAAUACUGCUAAGCUCGAGGCCGGGAGAGGAGUGUGGAAUUCCUAGUGUAGAGGUGAAAUUCGUUUAUAUUAGGAGGAACACCGGUGGCGAAGGCGACACUCUGGCUCGCUACUGGCGCUGAGGCGUGAAAGCGUGGGGAGCGAACAGG
rnacentral:rRNA from 1 species